UACGUAGGGGGCAAGCGUUGUCCGGAAUCAUUGGGCGUAAAGAGCGUGUAGGCGGCCCGAUAAGUCCGCCGUGAAAGUCCAGGGCUCAACCCUGGAAUGCCGGUGGAAACUGUCGGGCUGGAGUCCGGAAGAGGCGAGUGGAAUUCCUGGUGUAGCGGUGAAAUGCGUAGAGAUCGUAAGGAAGACCAGUGGCGAAGGCGGGUCACUGGCCCGAUACUGACGCUGAGGUGCGAAAGCGUGGGGAGCAAACAGG
rnacentral:rRNA from 1 species